rnacentral:lncRNA from 1 species
CGUACGUGCGGGAGCGUACGUGCGGGAGCGUACGUGCGGGAGCGUACGUGCGGGAGCGUACGUGCGCGGUGCAUAUUGAUUAAUUGUUGUGUCCUUCAAGCAUGAAUUAAUUAACACCUUAUGGUUGUUAUGUGGGUUCGGAAUAUUCAAUAUAAGCUCAGCCUCUACAAUUGAUUUGGUAGGAAUCAAAUCGUCUACAGAGGAUUCAGAGGGGACCAGGCCUUCCGCGAUGAACAGACCAGCAAGGAAAGCAGAUGAAACUCAAGAAGAAUUGUUUUGAAUACGUUUAACAUUGACCAGUUCAAAGAUGAAGGACAUUUCACUCUCAAAACAAGUCAACAUAUAGGAGACAGGGUGGACUACAGUGGUGCAGUCGUAACUCAGAGUAACCAUGAAGUCCUGAGCUCAAGAGAUAUUGUUUGGGCUUCAACAUAUGAAUUUUGGGUGGACCAUGCUUCAGACCAAAGCAAGAACCAAAAACCAAAUACAGUGCAAGCCAUAGUGACAGCAGAGCAGAUAGAGAAGAUAUCUGCAGUGAAAUAACAGAGAAGGCUUUUUGUUAGAUAUCUAGGGGAUAUUGAAAGAAGUUUCUCCUAGAAAAGGGGUUUCCUGUUUGUUCAACCACGUAAAAGAAAUAAAGGUGUCUUGGUGUGUUUUGUGCUGCUAUAGCAGAAUACUGGAAACUGGGUAAUUUAUAAAUAACAUUUAUUUCUCAUCAUUUCAGAAGCUGGAAAGUCCAAGACCAAGGUAAUGGCAGGUUUGGACACUGGUUCCAAAAUCAGGACUUGUUGCUACAUGCUCCAGAGGGGAGGCAUUCUGUGUUCUCACGUGGCAGAAGAGGGAGAAUCCACUCCUGCAAGUCCUUCUUAUAAUGACGUUACUCCAUGAAUGAAGGCAGAGCCCUCAUGACCUAAACACCUCCUAAAAGGCCCCACCUCCCAACAAGUUUCCAACACAUGAAUUUUGGAGGUUUCAUUCAGAUAAUAGCAAAAGGCAAAUCAUGUCUGGAAAAUUAAAUUUACUUUUAAGUGUAAAAAUUCUCCACUUUUAGGCAAGUAAAAGAGGUGUGUUUUUCUUUCCCAAAAUAACUAAAUCUAGCUUUCCCUUAAAAUAUCAGGCUUAUGUACAAU